rnacentral:rRNA from 1 species
GUAGGUGGCAAGCGUUGUCCGGGAAUUAUUGGACGUAAAGCGCGCGCAGGCGGUCCUUUAAGGUCUGAUGUGAAAGCCCACGGGCUCAACCGUGGAGGGUCAUUGGAAACUGGGGGACUUGAGUACAGAAGAGGAAAGCGGAAUUCCACGUGUAGCGGUGAAAUGCGUAGAGAUGUGGAGGAACACCAGUGGCGAAGGCGGCUUUCUGGUCUGUAACUGACGCUGAGGCGCGAAAGCGUGGGGAGCAAACAGGAUUAGAUACCCUGGUAGUCCACGCCGUAAACGAUGAGUGCUAAGUGUUAGGGGGUUUCCGCCCCUUAGUGCUGCAGCUAACGCAUUAAGCACUCCGCCUGGGGAGUACGGCCGCAAAGGCUGA